UAAGUAAGUGGUGGAAAUUAAACCAAAUGGGAUAUCUUUAGUAAUUGCGAAUGAACAAGGAUAUGCUUAGCUUGACAAAUGGAGCUAUUGGCUUUGAAUUGUAUUUGUGGAAUGUAUUACCAACAGAGGUGCAGGUGCCAGCCUAUUAAAUAAAGCGUCAAUGAGGGUGAGAAUCCUGUUUGUCACGUGCAGCCCUUUGUGCACGGUGUAUAUUUGCUGAGUCACACUCCUUGGCAUUGGAAUGCAAAGUGGGUGGUAAGUUUCAUGUACAGGUAAACAUGCAAUUGAGACUGAUAGCACACAAGUACCAUGAGGGAAAUAUGAAAAGGACUUUGAAAAGAUAAUUAAAUGAGUUUGUAUUUGCUGAACACAAAGUAAACAGACUUGAUUUGCUUGGUGGGAGUGUUGCACUUGCUUGACAAGAGCUUUGGGCUGUGGGUGUAAUGAUUCUUUCUUUGCAUGCCAGUUUCUAUGUGUACAUCUGAUUACCUUUGCACAUGAAUGAUAAGUCUCCUGUGGGGGGUGGAUUGCAUGUGCAUGUAAUGAUUUGUGUUUUGAUAAAUGUGUCUGGUGUAUGUGUGUGUGUUCCUGUGCUUGGGGAUGCUUCCUUCCUUGGACUUACAAGCCCUGGUACACACAUGCUGGCAAAAUGCUUCUGCUUGACCCG
rnacentral:rRNA from 1 species